AGGAACCUUUAGGUAAAGUUUUCUAUAACAGCUGGUGGUGCGACAGGGAAAAAGAUGUUAUGCCUUUUUUCCAGCUCCUCAGGAGAGAGCUGGGAAAAUGGACCUUGCUAUACAAACCUGAAUGUCCGUUGCCGCUUUUGGGUGUGAAAACAGGAGGCUAAAAUGAUGGGCUCGGGGAGCCUCACUGACACCAGCCCCCACCCCAUUGCUGGCUGGCACAGCGCUGUAUCUGCAGUGUGUUUGAGCCAUAGGGUGGUGUGAGGAACCAGCCCUCAGGCGGGAAUAUGUGUCAAAGCUCUAUUGUAACUCCUCUCGUUUGCAUCCCAAAAGGCCUUCCUGAGAGAACUGAGACACCGAUAAGGACCUGAGGAGUGGAGGGGGUGAAGGCCCACUUCAGCUGCUCGGCCUUCCCACGGCAAAAUGGAUACAGGGUUGCUUUUAAAACAAGGUGCUUUGUGAAACUAUCAGUCAACUAUGCCAAGCAUCCUGUAGGUUGUGAUAACAUCAAGUCUUCUAAGACCCUGGGCGCCUACAGACAACAUUUAUGUGGACUCUGACCCACCUGGGCAAUCUACCAGCGGGAGACUGGAGACAGGACAAAGAUGACAAAGGACUAGAAUCAACAAAGAACCCCACAGGAGACCCUUGAGCCUGCAUAAUUACAAAGAUAGCCAAUUCCAAGAAAUAAAAUGACUAUGUAGAAGAAUUCUGGGAA